UAGCGUAGGCAGCAAGCGUUGUUCGGAAGUUACUGGGCGUAAAGAGUGUGUAGGCGGUGCUCCCAGUCUGUUGUGAAAUCUCCCGGCUUAAACUGGGAGGGUGCAGCGGAAACUAGAGUGCUAGAGGGUGGAGAGGUAAGCGGAAUCUGGUGUAGCGGUGAAAUGCGUAGAGUAUCUGGAGGAACACCGGUGGCGAAGGCGGCAUCCUGGACCGAUACUGACGCUGAGGAGGCGAAAGCGUGGGGAGCAAACAGG
rnacentral:rRNA from 1 species